GUGGGGAAUAUUGGGCAAUGGGCGAAAGCCUGACCCAGCAACGCCGCGUGAAGGAAGAAGGUUUUCGGAUUGUAAACUUCUGUCCUCAGGGAAGAAGGAAGUGACGGUACCUGAGGAGGAAGCCCCGACUAACUACGUGCCAGCAGCCGCGGUAAUACGUAGGGGGCGAGCGUUGUCCGGAAUGACUGGGCGUAAAGGGCGCGUAGACGGUUUUUUAAGUCUGGAGUGAAAGUCCUGCUUUCAAGGUGGGAAUUGCUUUGGGGACUGGAAGGCUUGAGUGCGGGAGAGGUAAGUGGAAUUCCCAGUGUAGCGGUGAAAUGCGUAGAGAUUGGGAAGAACACCAGUGGCGAAGGCGACUUACUGGGCCGUAACUGACGUUGAUGCGCGAAAGCGUGGGGAGCGAACAGGAUUAGAUACCCUGGUAGUCC
rnacentral:rRNA from 1 species